UUAAUUUAUCAAAAAGAAAUUAAUUUUUCAGAUGUGAAACCAUGUCUGAAUUAAAAAAAUGAGACGCAUAUUCCUUUUUGCCCCUUAUAACAUUUCAGGAACAUCUGCUUCAUUUCUUUCUACUCCAUCAACGCCACAACCCCCUUCUCCCUCCCGCUCCAACUCUAAUCUACAACCCUCAGCCGAUCUCCCUCCGCCACCGACACCAGCCUCGCCAGCGACGCCGACGUUGACGUCGAUAGCCCCGAGAACGACUCCGAUACCAUCGCCCCUUCUCCCACCCAGCGGUUCUAUAUAAGGUUUUUCUUUCUUGCCCUAAAAAUUGAUUAUCUGUUCAUAGAUGGUUGUUAUUUAGUUUUUUUUUUCUGAAAUUAGAAGCCCUAAAUCUCGAUUUUGUAAAUCUGGAGAUGUUUUCUGGAGUUGUGUUCUUCCUUCGGAUUUGUCCGGGUUUUUGGUUGACUGAUCGAGUUUAGAGGAUUGUUUUUUGGGAAUUUUGGUGUUUAUCAGAGCAUAUGAGAAAACAAAUUUCAGGGAUUUCUGUUUCUUUUAUUGAAGUGAGAAGAUGUCUCAUUUUAAAUGGUGAUAGAAUGCAUUAUUUUGUGCAUAGGUUUUGAAUGUUGGUGUUUCGUUUAUGUACUUAAAUUGUCAAGAUGUUGGUGUCACUUUUGGAAUGUGAAUUAACUGGACUUGUACAAAUUUCAGGGAUAUUUUUUCUAAUCCCUUUCAGUUUUUUCUAAUCCAUUAAUGAUUGUAUAUAUUUCCAUUGAGCUUAUUUGUUUUGUUGUUAAAUUAUCAAUUUCGGGUUGAAAUGUUGGCAAGAAAAAUUGAGAGGCUAUUAAAGGGCAUGUUUCAUGUAAUGAUGGAGAAGAAGUAUGGAUGUAUUUGUUUAGCUUGAACAUUUGUUGUUGUUUUUCCUGAUCACUUUUUUUUCUAAUAGAUUUGUUGAUCACACCAAGAUAUUUGUAUGUUUUCAUGAAUUUGAAAGAAUUUAUGUUGUAUUUUGGAUUUGUGUUUAAUUUGGAUUUUGUAUGGUGUUAAAUAUAAGAAAUAGCAAUGUAUUUUUAUUGAUUUAUCUAUUAUAGCAUCAUUACUUUCACCUUUUCCUAUUAGAGAAUUGCAUUUUAUAAACAUAAACAUUAUAUUCAACAAAAAAUAAUACAAAGGGUAAAAUGGUCAUUUUUGUAAUUCAGCAUAGCAAUUCAGAGGUUCCAACCAAACAGCAUAUUAAAAUUUCAGAUCUUAAAAAUUCAGACCGUCUUAGAAAUUCAGACCUCUUAAAAAUUCAGAGCUUAAAAGUUCAGAUCCUGCCAAAC
rnacentral:lncRNA from 1 species